rnacentral:lncRNA from 1 species
CACUUUGGGUUCAUGUCUGGGAGGGGGCGGGGGCGGGGGGCCUGCAGGGUGUGUUGGGUGGUUUUUUGAUAUGUAUGAAACUGACAUCUUGGCAAACCCCAUCCCCUCCCAAGCCCACUGUCACCCACUCACCCACUGUCUAUCCCAUGGAGAGUCCCCUAGCCUGACCUUGGGAUCCAGCCCUUGCUGUGGACUAGGGAGACCUCCCCAGUAGAUGCAAGUUGCCCCAUUUCUCCCUUUGGAUGAGGGCACCAGACCCCAGGCGGGGUGGAGAGGGAGGUAUGGAGAGGGAGCACCCGUCCAGCCCCUGGAAGAGACCACACACAGGGUCCCCAACCCCCACUCUGGCUUCUCCAACGGUACUUUGACUCCAGUGUAGGGCUAGAGUAUACAUAUACAUAUAUAUAUAUAAUUUUGGACUUUCUUUUCUCGUACUACAGAUUAUACAGUGGCUACUUUUUAUUUUGGCCUGGAUUCUCUCUGAGGCCGACUUUUCCCCUGCAUCCUCCUGUCUUUCCGUUUCUGCCCCUUUGGACACUUCCUGAGAGUCUCAACUCCAAACUGACACCUCCUCCCCACCCCCACCCCCUCCCCCGCGUCCAUCCAUCCCUAAGCAUUUCAGAGCGUGUGGGGUCCGAGCUGGCCCGGAGGCCCACCCCCCACCCACCCUCUCCCCCCAAGCGAGACGGGGGAGACAGACCCAAAGCAAUCCCAGCAGGACUUGUUGCCAGCGAUACCAAAACAGUCUUUUCCCAAGCAGUGCCUCACAUGUCUGCUGGUGUGGCUUUGGGGUUCUCCUCCCCCACUCCCUGGGGGUCCCCCAGGCCUCAGGAAAGAGGAGGCGGGAUCCAGCAGGACUAAGGGCUCCAGGAGAGGAAGAAAGUCACACACGCCCAAGCCACCACUCUCCCUGCAGCCCUUGCUUCACACCACCUGGCUAGAAGGGGACCCACUGGAAAGGGGUCGGGGCCACCUCAGCCCCCCUCCAGUUGUGAACCCCCAAAGCCCAUUCCCCAAAUGCAUCAACACCCCAUCCUCCCACCUCAGGUCCCAGCCAGGCCCCCCUGAAACCAAAGCCCCUUCAAAUCCAGGGGUCCUGGCCUCUUCCCCCUCCCAGAACCGCACGUGGGGACAGAAAGGCAGAGUGCCUGAGGAUAGAACGCAGGUCGUGGGGGGCAGUGGUGGGUUGGUGGGGAGAGAGGGAGAGACCCAUUUUCCUCUCUGAACUUUCUUUCCUCUUUUUUCUUCAUCUCUUUUCUUUCUAAGAUUUUUUAGUGGUGUUGCUGUUCAUUCUUUUCCCUCAGAUAUUUUUUGAGUUUUUUUUCCCCAUUUUGUAUUUUACCAAUAUUACCAGGAUAGUUUACUCUCUGUUUCUCGCUUUCUGCUUGCUGCACACAAUGGAUAAACACACACACACACACAGACACACACACACACACACACACCCAUGCUCAUGAACCCAUGUCAUGAGAAGGUUCGGGCCAGGCCCACUACCCACCUUGUGCCCCUCCUCCUCCCUAAGGUGGGGACAGGAUGGGGGACCAGGGGACGUGGGGCAGAGCCAGGCCCAGCCUUCUCCUGGCCCGGCUCCCCCGCCCUGCUCCUUCACAUCAUACUCCGAUCAUAACCUUGUAUAUUAAGCAGUCAUUUCGGUUUUCCGCGGACGCGCCUACCUAAGUACCAUUUACAGAAAGUGACUCUGGCUGUUAUUAUUUUGUUUGUUUGUUUCCCUAUGCAAAAAAAAAAAAAAUGAAAAAAAGAAAAAAAAUGAAAGGGGGGGUUCCAUAAAAGAUUCAAUAAAAGGCAAAAAAAAAGAAAAAAGAAAAAAUGUAUAAAAAUUAAACAAGCUAUGCUUCGACUCUUUCUGGCUGUCUCGGGUCCUCCUUUCUGUUUGAGCUGUUCUGCGUUGUGUGCCCAAGCCAAGGGGCAGGUGGCCUCAGGAAACAGGGACCCCCAACCCUGAGGGAGCUGGCGGGUGUUCUGAGACCUUCAGAUCAGAGGUGCCCCAGGGGACAUUUUGCAAUAUCUGGACACCUUGUGGUUACAACCACUGUAGAUGCAGCUCCUCUAUCCCCCCUGCCCCAAGGGAGAUCCCUUCCUGGGAUGGGCCAUUUCACACACCUUUGCUCCAGCUUCCCCUCUGCCCAUCACUGUCUCCCUAUCUGUGUAGAAUCCUUCAGGUCCCACAGCAACACCCUCUUCCUCCAGGAAGCAUUCCCUCUAUUCCCCAGCCUGGCUCCCUCCCCCACCAGUCUCAGAAUUCCCCAGACUCUUUGAUCAACAAAUUUCAUGGGCAUCCAUGGAGCACCUGCUCUGUGCCAAGCACAGGGAAUUCCAUCUCCUACCUGGCUCCAAGGACAGUUUGUGCUCUAUAUAUGCACAGAAUGCCUUUCCUUUUUUUUUUUUUUUCCCACCUAGCAAACUCCCAUUUAUUUGAGUAGGAGUUCCCGUUGUGGCUCAGUGGAUUAAGAACCCUACUGGUGUCCAUCAAGACGUAGGUUUAGGAGUUCCCGUCGUGGCGCAGUGGUUAACGAAUCCGACUAGGAACCAUGAGGUUGCGGGUUCGGUCCCUGCCCUUGCUCAGUAGGUUAAGGAUCCGGCGUUGCCGUGAGCUGUGGUGUAGGUUGCAGACACGGCCCAGAUCCCGAGUUGCUGUGGCUCUGGCGUAGGCUGGUGGCUACAGCUCCGAUUCAACCCCUAGCCUGGGAAUCUCCAUAUGCCCCGGGAGCGGCCCAAAGAAAUAGCAACAACAACAACAACAACAACAAAAAGACAAAAAAAAAAGAUGUAGGUUUAAUCCUUGGCUUUGCUCAGUGGGUUAAGGAUCCAGCAUCGCCACGGAUGCGGCGUAGGUCUCAGAAGCAGCUCGGAUCUCGCGCUGCUUUGGCUGUGGCAUAGGCAGCAGCUGCAGCUCUGAUUUGACCCCUAGCCUGGGAACUUCCAUAUGCUGCAGGUGCAGCCCUAAAAAAAAAAGUAUUUUUCUCCUGAGUAUCUGCUGGGUACCAAGUACUGGGGACACAAUGGAGAAAAAACACCCCAAAUGAUCUGCCCUCAUGGCACUUACAAUUCCAAGUUGGGGAGAAAGGACAAUAAACAAUACAAAUAAGUAUGUCUGGAGUUCCCACUGUGGGUUAAGGAUCCAGCAUUUUCUCUGCGUCGAGUCGGGUGGCUGCUGAGGUUCAGGUUCAAUCCCCAGCCUAGCACAGUGCAUUAAGGAUCCAGCCUUGCCGCAGCUCAGAUUCAGUCCCUGACCCGGGAACUUUCAUGUGCUACGGGUGCAGCCAAAAAAUAAAAAGUGUAUGUCAGAAGAGGUGAGCACCAGUGAGACAAAUAAAGGGGUAGGAGAGUCAGCUUCAUGGGAGGAAAGAGCAUUUAAUCAGAGAUUUGAAGAGAGGGAGGGAAACAACCUCCUGGCAGGAGACUUUUCCAGGCAGGGGGCACAGCCAGUGCAAAGACCGUGAGGCAGGACUGUGCCUGGUGUGUUGGAGGAACAGGAAGGAGGCUCAUGUGCCUGGAGCAGAGUGAGCUAAGGGGAGAGAGGGAGGAGGUGGGAGCAGGGAGGGGACAGGAACAAGUUGUACAGGGCCUUGUGGGCCAUGGGAGGACUUGGGCUUUUCCCUCGGGCAGAUGGGAGCCCCUGGAGGGCUGUGGGCAGAGGAGGAGGGGGUGGGAAUUAACUUGGUUCCGAUACCCUCUCCUCCAGGAGGCCCUCCCUACCUGCCUGGGCAGAGCCCCUGCUGGCCCUCCCAGCACUCCAACCCCCCAUCCUCUCCCACCCAACCCCUGACCACUCAGAGCUGGCUGUGUCCAUGCCCAGCUCAUUCCCUGAAGCCAAAGGGACCCCUCAAAGGCUGGGGUCAGGGAAGAACCAUGGGUAUGGGGGGCAGUCCCUUCACUUUCUUGGGGGCUGAGAUCUGAAUCCCUAUCCCCUAUCCUGCCUGCCUCUCAUUUCAAGUCUCCCAGAGACACGCCCCCUGCCACCACCGCCCCCAGACGUGCAUUAAAACCUCUUUGCUGGGGAGUUCCCGUCGUGGUGCAGUGGUUAACGAAUCUGACUAGGAACCAUGAGGUUGUGGGUUCGGUCCCUGCCCUUGCUCAGUGGGUUAAUGAUCUGGCGUUGCCGUGAGCUGUGGUGUAGGUUGCAGACGUGGCUCGGAUCCCGCGUUGCUGUGGCUCUGGCGUAGGCCAGAGACUACAGCUCCGAUUCAACCCCUAGCCUGGGAACCUCCAUAUGCCGCGGAGCGGCCCAAGAAAUAGCAAAAAGACAAAAAAAAAAAAAAAAAAAAAAAAAAAAAAGCUCUUUGCUGGGAGUUCCCAUCGUGGCUCAGCGGUUAAGGAACCCGAAUAGCAUCCAAGAAGACAGAGGGUCAAUCCCUGGCCUGGCUCAGUAGGUUAUGGAUCUGGCAUUGCCGUGAGCUGUAGUGCAGGUCGCAGACGUGGCUUGUAUCUGGCGUUGGUUGCUCUGGCUGGGGUGUAGGCUGGCAGCUGCAGCUCCAAUUCUACCCCUAGCCUGGGAACCUCCAUAUGCCGCGGGUACGGCCCUAGAAAAACAAAACAAAACAAAAAAAAUUCUUUGGUGCACAAGCUCCCUCCAUCUUACCUCCAAGCCUCCGGGAGGGACAGGGAGGGACGUUUAUAUCCCCUUUCACUGACAGGGAAACUGAGGCACGGAGAGACUCCGAGACACACUGAGAGGCACCCAGGCAGGUGCCAGCCCAACCACACCACCCAGUAACAGGUACAGAACUCAUACUUGCAGAGUUCCCGUCAUGGUGCAGUGGUUAACGAAUCCGACUAGGAACCAUGAGGUUGCAUGAGGAUCCCUGGCCUUGCUCAGUGGGUUAAGGAUCCCGCGUUGUCGUGAGCUGUGGCAUAGGUCGCAGACGCGGCUCGGAUCUGGGGUUGCUGUGGCUGUGGCAUAGGCCAGCGGCUACAGCUCCGAUUAGACCCCUAGCCCGGGAACCUCCAUAUGCCACGGGAGUGGCCCUAGAAAAGGAAAAAAAAAAAGAAAAUAACUCAUACUCGCUGAGGGGAAGGGGUCGGGGUAAGGGGCUCAGUCCGGAGGUCACGGUCUCAGCUGAAAGUGGGGGCCCAGCGG